UAGAGUUUGAUCUUGGCUCAGGACGAACGCUGGCGGCGUGCCUAAUACAUGCAAGUCGAGCGCGGGAAGCAAACAGAUCUCCUUCGGGAGUGACGUUUGUGGAACGAGCGGCGGAUGGGUGAGUAUCACGUGGGCAACCUGCCUGUAAGAUCGGGAUAACUCGCGGAAACAUGAGCUAAUACCGGAUGAAGUCUUACGCCACCUGGCGUAAGGAUGAAAGAUGGCCUUUGUGCUAUCACUUACAGAUGGGCCCGCGGCGCAUUAGCUAGUUGGUAGGGUAAUGGCCUACCAAGGCGACGAUGCGUAGCCGACCUGAGAGGGUGAUCGGCCACACUGGGACUGAGACACGGCCCAGACUCCUACGGGAGGCAGCAGUAGGGAAUCUUCCGCAAUGGACGAAAGUCUGACGGAGCAACGCCGCGUGAGUGAUGAAGGUCUUCGGAUCGUAAAACUCUGUUGUCAGGGAAGAACAAGUGACGUUCGAAUAGGGCGUGACCUUGACGGUACCUGACCAGAAAGCCCCGGCUAACUACGUGCCAGCAGCCGCGGUAAUACGUAGGGGGCAAGCGUUGUCCGGAAUUAUUGGGCGUAAAGCGCGCGCAGGCGGUCCUUUAAGUCUGAUGUGAAAGCCCACGGCUUAACCGUGGAGGGUCAUUGGAAACUGAGGGACUUGAGUACAGAAGAGGAGAGUGGAAUUCCACGUGUAGCGGUGAAAUGCGUAGAGAUGUGGAGGAACACCAGUGGCGAAGGCGACUCUCUGGUCUGUAACUGACGCUGAGGUGCGAAAGCGUGGGUAGCAAACAGGAUUAGAUACCCUGGUAGUCC
rnacentral:rRNA from 1 species